AACGAACGCUGGCGGCAGGCUUAACACAUGCAAGUCGAGCGCCCCGCAAGGGGAGCGGCAGACGGGUGAGUAACGCGUGGGAAUCUACCCAUCUCUACGGAAUAACGCAUGGAAACGUGUGCUAAUACCGUAUACGUCCUUCGGGAGAAAGAUUUAUCGGAGAUGGAUGAGCCCGCGUUGGAUUAGCUAGUUGGUGGGGGUAAAGGCAUACCAAGGCGACGAUCCAUAGCUGGUCUGAGAGGAUGAUCAGCCACACUGGGACUGAGACACGGCCCAGACUCCUACGGGAGGCAGCAGUGGGGAAUAUUGGACAAUGGGCGCAAGCCUGAUCCAGCCAUGCCGCGUGAGUGAUGAAGGCCCUAGGGUUGUAAGCUCUUUCACCGGUGAAGAUAAUGACGGUAACCGGAGAAGAAGCCCCGGCUAACUUCGUGCCAGCCGCCGCAGUAAAAC
rnacentral:rRNA from 1 species